GGGCCCAUAGUCGAUCGGUUAAGACGCCUGCUUGACAUGCAGGAGAUGCGCGGUUCAAUUCCGCGUGGGCCCA
rnacentral:tRNA from 1 species